GACGUAGGUGGCGAGCGUUAUUCGGAAUUAUUGGGCGUAAAGGGUCCGUAGGAGGUCGCGCAAGUCUGAUGUGAAAUCCCAGGGCUCAACCCUGGACCGUCAUUGGAUACUGCGUGGCUUAGAGGGCAGGAGAGGAGAGUGGAAUACCCGGUGUAGCGGUGGAAUGCGUAGAUAUCGGGUGGAACGCCAAUGGCGAAGGCAGCUCUCUGGACUGUACCUGACUCUGAUGGACGAAAGCUGGGGGAGCAAA
rnacentral:rRNA from 1 species